rnacentral:rRNA from 1 species
AGCGUUGUCCGGAUUUAUUGGGCGUAAAGAGCGUGUAGGCGGCCAGGUAGGUCUGGUGUGAAAACUCGAGGCUUAACCUCGAGAUGUCAUCGGAAACCAUUUGGCUAGAGUCCGGAAGAGGAGAGUGGAAUUCCUGGUGUAGCGGUGAAAUGCGCAGAUAUCAGGAAGAACACCAAUGGCGAAGGCAGCACUCUGGGACGGUACUGACGCUGAGACGCGAAAGCGUGGGGAGCGAACAGG